UACGUAGGGGGCAAGCGUUGUCCGGAUUUACUGGGCGUAGAGAGCGUGUAGGCGGCCACGCAGGUCCGUUGUGAAAACUGGAGGCUCAACCUUCAGACGUCGACGGAAACCGUGUGGCUAGAGUCCGGAAGAGGAGAGUGGAAUUCCUGGUGUAGCGGUGAAAUGCGCAGAUAUCAGGAAGAACACCCGUGGCGAAGGCGGCUCUCUGGGACGGUACUGACGCUGAGACGCGAAAGCGUGGGGAGCGAACAGG
rnacentral:rRNA from 1 species